rnacentral:rRNA from 1 species
CCUACGGGAGGCAGCAGUGAGGAAUAUUGGUCAAUGGACGAGAGUCUGAACCAGCCAAGUAGCGUGAAGGAUGACUGCCCUAUGGGUUGUAAACUUCUUUUAUAAAGGAAUAAAACGAGGCACGUGUGCCUUUUUGCAUGUACUUUAUGAAUAAGGAUCGGCUAACUCCGUGCCAGCAGCCGCGGUAAUACGGAGGAUCCGAGCGUUAUCCGGAUUUAGUGGGUUUAAAGGGAGCGUAGAUGGGUUUUUAAGUCAGUUGUGAAAGUUUGCGGCUCAACCGUAAAAUUGCAAUUGAUACUGGCAGUCUUGAGUACAGUUGAGGUAGGCGGAAUUCGUGGUGUAGCGGUGAAAUGCUUAGAUAUCACGAAGAACCCCGAUUGCGAAGGCAGCUUACUAAACUGUAACUGACAUUGAUGCUCGAAAGUGUGGGUAUCAAACAGGAUUAGAUACCCCUGUAGUC